rnacentral:tRNA from 1 species
UUCCUGGUGGUCUAGUGGUUAGGACUUUGUGCUUUCACUGCUGUGGCCCAGGUUCAGUUCCUGGUCUGGGAA